rnacentral:sRNA from 1 species
UAGCUGCAGUGGAGGAAAGGGCGAAAACUGAACACGCGAAUGAUAUCAAAGAAGGUGUUCCAUCCGUCAAGGUAGACAGUAAGAGUAUAAAAAGGCCCUGUUCUGGAUCUUCCGUCAUUCCUACAAAGAAGAGGAAGACGGCAGCACGUUCAAAUCAAAGACAAAAGAAGAAGAAAACCAAGUCUCGUAAACUAGCUAAGCAGCGAAAAUCAAUCAAAACAAAGCCGGUUACAAAGAAAAGGCAAAUACCUGUCAAGAAAACAAAGUCAGCUCAAGUGAAAAAAUUCAAGAUUGACGCCUACAAGAGUAUCUUUCGGGAAUAAAUAUGGCUUUUUUAAGCGGUGAUAACAAAGACAUAGCUCAGCCUAUGGAACUGUCUCUGUUUGCAUCUCCUACCAAUCAAGUAGCUGUAGAGAAAGUAUAUUUUACGGAAGCAAGACCAAUAUCCAGCAUAGGUGUAUCAGACACACCAAUCGAAAUUGUAGUUUCGGGUUCGGGUGCAGAAUAUAUAAAUUUAAAGAGAAGUAAAUUUAACGUAAAAGCACGGAUUUUAAAAGCCGACGGAACAGCUUUGGCUGAAGAAGAAACAACGGGUAUCGUCAAUCUACCUCUGCAAAGUAUGUUUUCUCAGAUGGACGUCUAUUUAAACAACAAACUGGUGUCGUUCAAUACAAACAACUAUCCAUGGAAAGCGUAUCUCAAGACAAUUUUGUUCAGUGGGAAAGACGACUUGAAGUCUCAAAAGCAGUCAGAAUUGUUUUAUAAAGACGAAGGGACGAUGGACGACGCCAACGCUUACAACGGAGGUAAUGCUGGAUUGGUGCUACGAUACGGUUUUACUGAGCAAAGUAAAACUUUUGAGCUGGAAGGAAACCUGAAGGAAGAUAUCUUUGAUCUAGACAAGUACUUGAUAAACGGAGUAGAUAUUUACAUCAAACUAUUUAGAUCCAGCACCCCGUUUGUAGUCAUGUCUGCAGAAUCUUCAGCAGCUUACAAACUAGAACUGUUGGAUGUCGUGUUCAAAGUUGCAAAGGCUGUACCAGACCGUAUUGUGGUAGCUCUGGUAGACCAGAAAGCUGUCAAUGGUGAUUAUUCGGCCAACCCAUUCAAUUUCGAACACAUGGGAGUAACAGAUGUCGGUAUAUACGUCAACGGAGAAAGCGUACCUGGUAGACCACUAAAAACAGACUUCUCGGCGGGACAGUAUGUGGCAGCUUACACUCGUUUGUUUGAGGCCUCGGAAAAAUGGAACUCUGAUGCUGGACUCGUUAUCUCCCGAGAAAAUUUCGGAUCGGGAUACUCUUUGUUUGUCUUCACCAUCGAUCCUUGUGGGUUCGGCGAAGAAUAUUUAAACCUCAUUCGUCGAGGAAAUACCAGACUGGAACUGAAAUUCAAAGAAUUACAACUAAAGCUGCCAACGCCCUUGUAUUUGCUACGUUUUCUUCCCUGCUUGAGGUGGAUAAGUCACGUGACAUCAAUUAUAUUCAACCAUGAACUCGACGCAGAUGUUAAAUAUUGUGAGAACAGACCCAUGCUUAAGACGUUACGUAAAAGGAGUGUUUGCUAGCAACACGCUACCUGCAACUGUGACUCAGUUUCC